CCUACGGGAGGCAGCAGUGGGGAAUAUUGGACAAUGGGGGCAACCCUGAUCCAGCCAUGCCGCGUGUGUGAAGAAGGCCUUCGGGUUGUAAAGCACUUUUGUUGGGGAAGAAAAGCACUGGGUUAAUACCUUGGUGUCAUGACGGUACCCAAAGAAUAAGCACCGGCUAACUUCGUGCCAGCAGCCGCGGUAAUACGAAGGGUGCAGGCGUUACUCGGAAUUACUGGGCGUAAAGCGUGCGUAGGCGGUUUGUUAAGUCUGUCGUGAAAGCCCCGGGCUCGACCUGGGAAUGGCGAUGGAAACUGGCGAGCUAGAGUACGGUAGAGGAGAGUGGAAUUCCCGGUGUAGCAGUGAAAUGCGUAGAGAUCGGGAGGAACAUCAGCUGCGAAGGCGGCUCUCUGGACCAGUACUGACGCUGAGGCACAAAAGCGUGGGGAGCAAACAGGAUUAGAUACCCUGGUAGUCCACGCCCUAAACGAUGCGAACUGGACGUUGGGAGCAAUUAGGCUCUCAGUGUCGAAGCUAACGCGUUAAGUUCGCCGCCUGGGGAGUACGGUCGCAAGACUGAAACUCAAAGGAAUUGACGG
rnacentral:rRNA from 1 species